rnacentral:rRNA from 1 species
UCAGACGAUGCGUCAUGCAUAUCAAUAAGCGGAGGAAAAGAAACUAACAAGGAUUCCCCUAGUAACGGCGAGUGAAGCGGGAAGAGCUCAAAUUUGAAAUCUUAAAGGGUUUCCCUUUACGAAUUGUAGUUUAAAGAAGUGUUUUCUGUUGAGGUUUUGGUAUAAAGUUCUUUGGAAUAGGACAUCAUAGAGGGUGAGAAUCCCGUAUUUGACCGUUACUUUCAACUUUGUGAUACACUUUCAAAGAGUCGGAUUGUUUGGGAAUGCAGUCCAAAAUGGGUGGUAAAUUUCAUCUAAAGCUAAAUAUUGGCGAGAGACCGAUAGCGAACAAGUACCGUGAGGGAAAGAUGAAAAGAACUUUGAAAAGAGAGUUAAACAGUACGUGAAAUUGUCAAAAGGGAAGCGUUUGACACCAGUGUUGUUUUUCUGAAAAUCAAUUAAAGAACUGUUUAUGCUAAGUUGUUUAGACUUUAUCAGCUAACUGUUUAGUUUUGAGCUUUUCUUUAAUGCACUUUUCAGUUAACAAGUCAACAUCAAUUUCUUUUGCUGUAAAAAAGCUUGAGGAAGGUGGCUUGAGAUUCGUCUUAAGUGUUUAUAGCCUCUUGCCUAUGCAGUCGGAGAGAUUGAGGUCUGCAGCGUAGAUCCUUCGGGGCUAAAUGCAUUUGUGCUAAGUUAUAGCAUUUUAUAGACGACUUGUUGACUAUGAUUUGUCUUGUAGCUUACUCGCUUAUGUUAUUUUACCUACGCUUAGGAUGUUGAAGUCAUCGUAUCGCGC